rnacentral:rRNA from 1 species
CCUACGGGUGGCACCAGUGGGGAAUAUUGCACAAUGGGCGCAAGCCUGAUGCAGCCAUGCCGCGUGUGCGAAGAAGGCCUUCGGGUUGUAAAGCACUUUCAGCGGGGCGGAAGGCGGUGAGGUUAAUAACCUCACCGAUUGACGUUACCCGCAGAAGGAGCACCGGCUAACUCCGUGCCAGCAGCCGCGGUAAUACGGAGGGUGCAAGCGUUAAUCGGAAUUACUGGGCGUAAAGCGCACGCAGGCGGUCUGUCAAGUCGGAUGUGAAAUCCCCGGGCUCAACCUGGGAACUGCAUUCGAAACUGGCAGGCUAGAGUCUUGUAGAGGGGGGUAGAAUUCCAGGUGUAGCGGUGAAAUGCGUUGAGAUCUGGAGGAAUACCGGUGGCGAAGGCGGCCCCCUGGACGAAGACUGACGCUCAGGUGCGAAAGCGUGGGGAGCAAACAGGAUUAGAUACCCGCGUAGUC